rnacentral:rRNA from 1 species
CCUACGGGGGGCUGCAGUGGGGAAUAUUGCACAAUGGGCGCAAGCCUGAUGCAGCCAUGCCGCGUGUGUGAAGAAGGCCUUCGGGUUGUAAAGCACUUUCAGCGGGGAGGAAGGCGUUAAGGUUAAUAACCUUGUCGAUUGACGUUACCCGCAGAAGAAGCACCGGCUAACUCCGUGCCAGCAGCCGCGGUAAUACGGAGGGUGCAAGCGUUAAUCGGAAUUACUGGGCGUAAAGCGCACGCAGGCGGUCUGUCAAGGCGGAUGUGAAAUCCCCGGGCUCAACCUGGGAACUGCAUUCGAAACUGGCAGGCUAGAGUCUUGUAGAGGGGGGUAGAAUUCCAGGUGUAGCGGUGAAAUGCGUAGAGAUCUGGAGGAAUACCGGUGGCGAAGGCGGCCCCCUGGACAAAGACUGACGCUCAGGUGCGAAAGCGUGGGGAGCAAACAGGAUUAGAUACCCUAGUAGUC